UCACACUGAAAUGUAAUUGCCAUUGUAACAGUAGUAAGAGGUGAGACCUUUAAGAGGAUAAGUGAGGGUUCUGCCCCAUGCAUGGACUAACAUCAUUACUGUGUGAGUAAGCAUCUCACAAAGGGCAAGUUCUGUCCCCUCUGCUCUCUCUCAUCAUCUCUUAUCCCUUUUGCUCUUCUGCCAUGUGAAGAACAGUAUCUCCUCACCACUCUGCAUGGUCAAGCCACCAUCGUGGAAGAAGAGACCAGGCCAUUACCAGACACAAACAUGUCAGGGGUUUGAUCAAGGACUUCCUAGCCUCUAGAACUGUGAAAAAUAAACUUGUAUUCUUUAUAAGUUAUUCUAAAAUAUUAUAUCAUGGUAGCACAAAAUGGAUUAAGAUACCUACCUUGGCAAAACAAUUUAGCCUUAGGGUCCCAAAAGCUCCAAGACCUCAACUAUUACAUCCCAGCCUUCUCCUCAGAUGUCUUCUGUUCAGGAAAUUAAGGAGAUUGAAAGAAUCAAGAUAUGUUUUAAAUGUACUUGAUGAUUAUUUUAAGUCAUAGUAUCUUUCAGUAAAACCACUUGAAAAUUUUCACUUUUUGAACUCCAGUUUUUAAUGUUAUUUUCAACAGCCAUAGGUAAAGUGCAAUAUAAAGACCUAUUAAUAGAUGUUCAUUCUCCCUUCAUUAUUACCAACCUCCUUCCUCACUCUAGACAAGUAAAUGUGUCCCUAUAAUUUCUCAUUUUUUUGAAAAUUUACUAGAUUAAAUUUGUCUACUGCAAAAAAAAAUCAUUAUAAAGAGUUCUUAGAAAAAUUGGCUGGGUGCGUUGGCUCGUGCCUGUAAUCCCAGCACUUUGGGAAGCCGAGGCGGGAGGAUCACAAGGUCAGGAGUUCAAGAUGAGCCUGGUUAAGACGGUGAAACCCCAUCUCUACUAAAAAUACAAAAAUUAGCCAGCCUGGUGGUGGGCACCUGUAAUCCCAACUACUCGGUAGGCUGAGGCAGGAGAAUCACCUGAACUCAACAGGUGGAUGUUGCAGAGAGCCAAGAUCGCACCACUGCACUCCAGAGCUUGGGCGACAAAGCAAGACUCCAUCUCAAAAAAAAAAAAAAGAGAGAGAGUUCUUAAAAAAUUGUGAAAGCACACAUUUUUAUUCUCCUGGCUCAUACUUAUUUGAAUGAUAAUUUAUUUGAUGUGUUUUAUUGAGAAUCUACCAUUUGAUCAGCACUUUCCGUCACUUGCAGUAUUUGGAAAAAAUUUUGAUCUUCCUCGUCUAUUCUAUUCUCUACUGACUGUAAUGUUCAAAGGAUUCACUUCAAAAAAAUCAAUUACUUUUCAUCAGCCUUGUGCUUAGAAAAAGGUAUGAAGUAGGCAAAAUAUAUCUUCUUGUUGACCGAGUUUCCUUGACUCUUAGCUCUUCUUAUAACUAUUUUUAAUGUCUCAGUAAACCUGUUCCCUCCCAACUCUCUCCCAUGACAGUAAUCAGUCUCUCUUCUAAUAUAUUGUUUCCCUCAAUGUUCCCCUCUACUUGUAAAGGUCUUUUUGGGGAAAGAUCUGACAAAUAUACUCCUUCAUAUAUGUAAAUAAUUGGGAGUAUAUAAUAAUUUAAUAAGAAAAUGUAGUGAAUCAAACCCAAAGAAAAAAAUAUCAGCUAAAUCUGUGUCUCUGAUUAGGUAGAAUUCCAGAUUUUGAAACCAGAUUGUGAGGAAAUAGUUCUAUUUAUUGAAGUCGCACAGUAUACCUGAUGCUGAUAAUGGUGAUUUCAUGUAUAUUCUCUGCUUUUAUCUGUACAGUAAGUUUGGUUAGAUAUUCCAUUUUUUGUAUCUAGAGAUAGAGAACUGUGUUUGAGAAGGAUUAAGCAAUAUGCUGAAGGUUACAAAAUUAGUAAGUGGCAGAACUAGGAUUCAUAUCCAGAUCUGUCUUACUGCAAAAUUCGCACUUCUUUUCAAUUGCAUUGUAUCUUUGUGC
ensembl:lncRNA